UUGGAAGUAAAAAAUCGUAACAAGGUCUCCGUUGGUGAACCAGCGGAGGGAUCAUUACCGAGUUUACAACUCCCAAACCCCAAUGUGAACGUUACCAAUCUGUUGCCUCGGCGGGAUUCUCUUGCCCCGGGCGCGUCGCAGCCCCGGAUCCCAUGGCGCCCGCCGGAGGACCAACUCCAAACUCUUUUUUUCUCUCCGUCGCGGCUCCCGUCGCGGCUCUGUUUUAUUUUUGCUCUGAGCCUUUCUCGGCGACCCUAGCGGGCGUCUCGAAAAUGAAUCAAAACUUUCAACAACGGAUCUCUUGGUUCUGGCAUCGAUGAAGAACGCAGCGAAAUGCGAUAAGUAAUGUGAAUUGCAGAAUUCAGUGAAUCAUCGAAUCUUUGAACGCACAUUGCGCCCGCCAGUAUUCUGGCGGGCAUGCCUGUCCGAGCGUCAUUUCAACCCUCGAACCCCUCCGGGGGGUCGGCGUUGGGGAUCGGCCCCUCACCGGGCCGCCCCCGAAAUACAGUGGCGGUCUCGCCGCAGCCUCUCCUGCGCAGUAGUUUGCACACUCGCACCGGGAGCGCGGCGCGGCCACAGCCGUAAAACACCCCAAACUUCUGAAAUGUUGACCUCGGAUCAGGUAGGAAUACCCGCUGAACUUAAGCAUAUCAAUAAGUCGGAGGAAGA
rnacentral:rRNA from 1 species